rnacentral:rRNA from 1 species
GGAAAAUAGGGGAAGGUGCGGGGGGUAAAAGGUAGGGGGAAAGGGUUAUCCGGGUUUACUGGGGGUAAAGGGAGCGGAGACGGCAAGGCAAGUCUGAGGUGAAAACCCAGGGCUUAACCCGUGGACUGCAUUGGAAACUGUCUGGCUCGAGUGCCGGAGAGGUAAGCGGAAGUCCUAGUGUAGCGGUGAAAUGCGUAGAUAUUAGGAAGAACACCAGUGGCGAAGGCGGCUUACUGGACGGUAACUGACGUUGAGGCUCGAAAGCGUGGGGAGCAAACAGGAUUAGAUACCCGUGUAGUC